UGCCAGUAGUCAUAUGCUUGUCUCAAAGACUAAGCCAUGCAUGUCUAAGUAUAAAUGUUAUACAGUGAAACUGCGAAUGGCUCAUUAAAACAGUUAUAGUUUAUUUGAUAAUCGAAUUUACAUGGAUAACCGUGGUAAUUCUAGAGCUAAUACAUGCUGGUUAACCUGACUUCGAGGAAGGGCUGUAUUUAUUAGAUAACAAACCAAUAUUCCCCGUGUCUAUUGUGAUGACUCAUAAUAACUGAUCGAAUCGCAUGGACUUUGUCCGCGAUACAUCAUUCAAGUUUCUGCCCCAUCAGCUUUCGAUGGUAGUGUAUUGGACUACCAUGGCUUUAACGGGUAACGGAGGAUUAGGGUUCGAUUCCGGAGAGGGAGCCUGAGAAACGGCUACCACAUCUAAGGAAGGCAGCAGGCGCGUAAAUUACCCAAUCCUGACUCAGGGAGGUAGUGACAAGAAAUAACGGACCGAGGCAUCUGCUUCGGGAUUGCAAUGAGUAGAAUUUAAACCCCUUUACGAGGAUCAAUUGGAGGACAAGUCUGGU
rnacentral:rRNA from 1 species